rnacentral:rRNA from 1 species
UACGUAGGGGGCAAGCGUUGUCCGGAUUUAUUGGGCGUAAAGAGCGUGUAGGCGGCUUUACAGGUCCGUUGUGAAAACUCGAGGCUCAACCUCGAGACGCCGGUGGAAACCGUAAAGCUAGAGUCCGGAAGAGGAGAGUGGAAUUCCUGGUGUAGCGGUGAAAUGCGCAGAUAUCAGGAGGAACACCGGUGGCGAAGGCGGGUCUCUGGGCCGAUACUGACGCUGAGGAGCGAAAGCGUGGGGAGCGAAACAGG